CUUUUCCUUUCAGCCGCCAUGGAGCCCAGUUUUGCUCCCCGACACGUGAGAUCCCUUCACUAGCAUCUCUCUUCCUCAAGCGCCAUCCCUGGCUUCUCCCAUGCCGAGCGUCUCCAAUGCCCAAACCUCCAUGGCCGACGUCGCCCUGCUCAGGUCCAACCAGCUCCCCUUCCUGUUGUUGUGUCCAGCCGAUGCCCCUCCCUCCAUCUUCCUCUCUGCAGCAACCCUACCACGGUUGUGCCCCUGCUUCCAUGGUGAGCUCGCCCCAGCCCCAACGUCGGACGUGCCGUCGCCCUCACGUCCAGCUCCUCCAUCCCCCUGGUUCCCUCCUAGCUCCGACCAGGUUUGCCAGGUCCGACCGUUCUGCUCGCCGCGCCCUCCCCAUGCCAGCACGCGAGCGCCCCCUCCCGUCCCUGCUCCUCUCCAUCGACGCCCAGGCCGAUGCCGAGCUCCCAGCCCCUCCCGAUGGCGUGGUCAAGCAUCUAGGUAUUCGGUGGGACGCCUGAGCCAUGGGAUUGACGUCGUUCUUGUGUAUUCGGAAUUGAUUGAGGUUGAUGUGCUCUGGGAUAACAUCAUGAUCCGUAGUAGUGCUUGCGUGCUAGUCCAUUGAGUUAUACAGGGAAGGAUUCUUUCCUCUCUUUUCUUUGUAGAUAUUGUGGUGGUAUUAAGUAUUUGUAGUGCCUAUAUUAGAUGAUCGUUGAAGUGCCUCGCCAUAAAGUGUUUGUUUAGUUGUCCCAUUAUUUAUAAUGAUAUGACCAAGUCUAGGUUUUAUAGGUUCGAUGUUAUGAUUGUGGUGAACUAAAAUUGCGUAGGAUGAGUUCAGAAUUUUUAUCGGCUAUCUGACGAGUACUAUCAGUGUUGUUGUGUUGAUUGUGUUUAUAUGUGAAGUUUAGGUCUAAAAUUAUGAGUUUAUUUGAAAUGAUUUUGUGCACGAUUAUGAGGUGGACUAGUACAUAUAUGUGAUUAAGUGGGUGAUUUUAGAUCUACUUUAAUAUAAGGUAUUAGCAUAUUUGAAGUAUUAGGCACAUGAAAAUUUUAGAAGUUAACUAGGAGUUAAAUUAGGAUUCUUGCUGUUGGGACUGCAUGACCAGUUUUAGUUAGGCAACUAGUCGAUGAGGUAAAUCUUGUACAACAUUGCAUAAGUGCUCACUUUAUUCAUGGGUACAACAUUCACCACAUUAUCUUACACUUAGUUGUAGGCCACUUUAGGAACAUAUUUUUUAUGCCGCUUAUCUAAAGCAUGGAGUUCCCAUUUAUGAUUUAUGUCACUUACGUAUGAUACUAUCGUUAUCUCUCCUGUUACUUGUUUCAGGUAUCAGAAUUCCUGGAUUCCAAAUCUGAGACGGAUGUUGAUGUUGACUAUAACAGCUUGUACUCAAAGCAGGACUUUCUACAGGGUGAGGUGCUCGUUUCGAUGUGGCUAGAGUAACUUGUGUACUCUAUCUCAUCGUUUUUAAUUUAUUCGUUUAUAUAUAUAUAUAUAGUGUGAUUUAAUAUGGUGUAAUGUUUCUCAUCCUAAUGACACCCCAAACAUACAUUCUUCUUCCACGGCUGGGUAGCCAAACAAUCCCACAACAGUAAAAUUCUUCUACCAAGUGAAGAACCAUGGAGAAAAUGCCUUCCUAAUCAUUGUUCCCGCUUUGCAACUAACAUUUCCAUUUCCCGCCACACUCUCCCGCGCAGCACCCAUUCUUCUUUCCCUCCACUUGCCGCUCCAGUUGCAGUUGGUCGAAAAAAGUGGAAAGGAAAGGGGCAAAAUAUCCUAGGGUUCUGCCUCCAUGGACAUCGAGACCCACGCCGCCGCCCUGGCCCGCGACGAGCUGCGGCGGCUCCUCGCCGCCACCCUCAGUCCCGACAAGGCGUCGGUGGACACCGCCGCGGCGGGGCUCGACGCGCUCUCUUCCGACCCACGCUUCCCCCUCGCCAUCCUCGCUGUCGCUGCAGGGGACGAUGAUCACGGGAUGAGAGUCGCUGCAGCGACAUACUUGAAAAAUUUUACCCGCCGCAAUUUGGAAACUCGUCUGUGUUCAUCUGAGGUUUACAAGGAGUUCCGUGACCAACUUGCCCAGGCUUUGCUUCGAGUGGAGCCUGCAAUUCUUCGAGUGCUGAUUGAAGUUUUCCGCCAAGUUGUUGAAAAAGAUUUUGUCAAGGAUAACUUGUGGCCUGAGCUUAUCCCUCAGUUGAAACUAGUGAUCCAGAGCAGCAACCUAAUUAGUCCAGGCCAGCAUCCUGAGUGGAAUACUAUUAAUGCACUCACAGUACUUCAAUCUGUUGUAAGACCCUUCCAGUAUUUCUUGAAUCCAAAAGUUGUGAAAGAGUCUGUUCCACAACAGUUGGAGCAAAUUGCAGCAGAGAUUCUUGUACCAUUGCAAGUGACAUUCCAUCACUUCUCUGACAAGGUUCUUUUGUCACCUGAUGGGACUAACUUGGAAUAUGAGCAGCUCCUACUCAUCACAUGCAAAUGCAUGUAUUUCACUGUGAGGUCAUACAUGCCAUCUAGGGUGAAACAAAUUUUGCCUUCCUUUUGCAAAGACAUGUUCCGUAUACUAGAUUCUUUGAACUUUAAUAGUCUUAUUGAAGAUGGAUCUACCAUGAAGCUCAAGAUUGCAAAGAGAUGUCUCAUUAUAUUUUGCGCACUUGUUACACGUCACCGGAAACAUACAGAUAAGUAUAUGCCACAUAUUGUCAACUGUGCAAUAAAAAUAUCAAAACAAAGCAUCCAUUUAAGUAAACUCGACUCUCUCCCCAAUCGGAUUGUUUCAUUGGCAUUUGAUGUGAUUUCUCGAGUUUUGGAAACAGGACCGGGAUGGUGACUAGUUUCACCACAUUUUUCUUCACUUCUUGAUUCAGCAAUUUUUCCAGCAUUAGCAUUGAAUGAGAAGGAUAUAGAAGAAUGGGAGGAGGAUACUGAUGAGUAUAUGCAAAAGAAUCUUCCUUCUGAACUUGAUGACAUUUCUGGAUGGACUGAGGAUUUGUUCACUGCCAGAAAAAGUGCAAUCAAUUUACUUGGUGUUAUAGCGCUAUCAAAGGGUCCACCAGUUGCAUCUGCAGCAUCAAAGCGUAAGAAAGGUGAUAAAAAUAAAGGGAAAUCUGAAAUGAGCUCAAUUGGGGAGUUAUUGGUCAUCCCAUUCCUGUCAAAGUUUCCUAUACCUUCUCAUGGUGAGGAUGCAUCAUCAGUAGCAGUGCAGAAUUAUUUCGGUGUUUUGAUGGCAUAUGGAGGCCUCCAAGAUUUUCUGACUGGAAAGAAAGAUUUGACAAUUACAUUGAUCAGGAACCGGAUUCUCCCAUUAUAUUCUUUGGAUCCUUGCAGCAUGCAGCCCAUAUUUGAUUUCAACGGCUAAUUGGGUUAUUGGUCAGCUUGCGAUAUGCCUACCAGAGGACAUGAGUUCUAGUAUUUAUCAGUCCUUAAUGAAGGCGUUGACCAUGGAGUAUGUGGAGGACAUAACUUGUUAUCCGGUUUGUGCCUCUGCUUCUGGUGCUAUUGCAGAACUCAUCGAGAAUAGCUAUGUUCCACCUGACUGGCUCAUUCUCCUGCAAGUGGUUCUGAAAAGAAUAAGUACUGGAGAUGAAAAUGAGUCUGCUCUUCUGUCCAAGCUUCUGGGCACAAUAGUUGAGGGUGGACAGGAAAAAGUUCUGUCUCAUAUUCCUGAAAUUGUAUCCAACAUUGCUAGUACUGUAAUGGAGCUCCUGCCCCUUGUCCCAGAUCCUUGGCCUCAGGUAGUAGUGCAUCUUUCUUCUGUGUGGUCAAUAUUUUGGUACUUUGUCAUGAUGACCGGCGGGAGGAACACCGGGCGUGUAGGAGUGAUCAAGAACAGGGAGAAGCACAAGGGCAGCUUCGAGACCAUCCACAUGCUGCUUAGAGCUUUUUGCUAUGUCUAGUUUUCUCCUAUUUGUUGUAUAGGAAAACAUAGAAUGGAAUUCAAAUUUGGUGGCCGCAAAAUGUGGAGACUUGAAUUCAUAUAAAGUUAGGCUUAACAUUAGUGCAAACAGCUGUAUUUUAGUUUAGAUUUAGAGUACACUUAUGUAUGUGUUGUUUGACAAUGCUUAUUUAUGAUAUAUUGAAUGAUACUUAUUUAUAUUAUAUUAAUUAUAAUGUUGUU